UUUGCUUUGCUUUGCUCUGCUCUUUAAUGGCGAAAUCCGCCAUCCUCGCCGCCGGCUGCCACCGGCCACCCCGGCGGCGCUGAAACGGUUCGCCGGCAAUCUCCCUGAAGCCCUUCGGUCCGUCCAACGAUUGAUUUCUGAUCCAUCUUCCUGCUUUUCAUUGAAGUAAUUUUUGGCAAGCGGUAUAGUUUGUUCUACUCCGGAAAAAUGAUUCAGAAACCUAUUAUCAGUUUGCAAGUUGCAAAUUCAGAUGUUAUGACCAAAGAGAUGUUACAUCACAAGGUUAGUCUAAAUGGCUACUUAGCCACAACACUGGGCAAAGUCUGGAAAAGACAAAUAAAGACACUGAAAGGAGUUCCUUCAUGAAACAUCAAAGAAACAAUGAAAUGUGUCUUGCUUGAUGCUGUCAUUGAAUCCCCUCAAAGCACAUCAACCACUACUGCCUUCUGAUCAGUACACACUUCAACAUCUCACUGAUUGGUAUUAUUUUCCAUUUUAUACUGAUAAUUCUUACUUAAUGACUACCAUAGAUUAGUAUGUCUUCUUUGUUAUUUGUCAUGCUAUAAUACUUGAGUUAGAGCUUUAAAUGUUUUGUUGGAAUUUUGCAGUAUGCACUCUACUUUUAACUGUCAACCAUGUCUCUUUUUUUGUCACAACUGUGAUUUACAUGAUGUGGUGGUUGUUAGUUGAGUUUCUUUUGUAAAGAUAGUGAGUGGGGUUAUGAACUGUUCCACAAACACUAUGCAACAAAAAAGAACAGCCUUUCCAAACUGAAUCAUAUAUAUUCCUCCAUUCACUUCCUUGGAUUGAUUAGUUCACUACAUCCAUUCAAUUAUCAAGUUGCACUUUUGAAAGAGAGAGAGAGAGAGAGAGUCACACUAAAA